CAGCCGCGGGAAUACGGAGGGUGCAAGCGUUAUCCGGAUUCACUGGGUUUAAAGGGUGCGUAGGCGGAUCUGUAAGUCAGUGGUGAAAUCUCCAAGCUUAACCUGGAAACUGCCGUUGAUACUAUAGGUCUUGAAUUUUGUGGAGGUUAGCGGAAUAUGUCAUGUAGCGGUGAAAUGCAUAGAUAUGACAUAGAACACCAAUUGCGAAGGCAGCUGGCUACACAACUAUUGACGCUGAGGCACGAAAGCGUGGGGAUCAAACAGGAUUAGAUACCCGCGUAGUCCCUGUCUCUUAUACACA
rnacentral:rRNA from 1 species